UACGAAGGACCCGAGCGUUAUCCGGAUUUAUUGGGUUUAAAGGGUGCGUAGGCGGACACGCAAGUCAGUGGUGAAAUCUCCCAGCUUAACUGGGAAACUGCCAUUGAAACUAUGUGUCUUGAGUACAUUUGAAGUGGGCGGAAUGUGUCAUGUAGCGGUGAAAUGCUUAGAUAUGACACAGAACACCGAUUGCGUAGGCAGCUCACUAAACUGUAACUGACGCUGAGCACGAAAGCGUGGGGAGCAAACAGG
rnacentral:rRNA from 1 species